rnacentral:lncRNA from 1 species
ACUUUCCACAGAAUUGUUUAUCAAAAAUAUCGUGUAAAACCUGGGCCCUUAUUGGAUGCUUGGGAGAUAAUAAAUAUAAAGGUAAAAAGACCUGGUCUCCAUUCUCAAGAAGUUUACAAUUCAAUAAAAGUCCAGUUCAAAUGAUAUGGAGGCCAAGGCCCUGGCAAGCCCACAAACAAUCUGCCUGAAGCAACUUGGAAGGUAGAGCCUUGAAUGCUGCCCGUCAAAUUGUGUGGAGCCCGGUAGAAGACAGAAAAAUGGGGAUCAAGCCAUCGUAGACAAAGGAAUUCUCAUCACAAAUGAAGUUCAAGAGCUUAGAUCUUCAGUAUUGAGAAGGAAUCAUAUUACAGAAGAGAAGGUAAGGAGCAGAUCGG